GCAAUUGCAAGAGCUCUUACCCUUGGUUAUCAAAUAAUGCCGAUACCAUUCCAUAGCCAUGCAUGCCGCCUCGACUCGACUGUGGACUGCAGACUGAAGGGAAGCUAUUGAAUUCCAAUGCACAUAUCAUUUGGCCAACAAAAUGCCGAAUGCCGAUGGGUGUUAAAAUAUUAGAGUGUGUUUCAAUUCAGAAGGAUAUUAUAUGAUUGCAAUUAGUUUGGAAUAUGAAAUAUGAGCUUCUUGGUGUAUUUUGGCCCCGAAAAUUAACUAACGCAAAUAUUAUGUGUAAUCGUCUACGAAAUUAGUCUUAAAAUCGAUAUUGGAUUGAUUACAAUAUUUGGAUUUUUAAAUUGAAAGGUGAGGUGGGGUAUAUGAAACUUAUACUGUUUUACCUGUGAGUCGGCAGCGUAACACACUUUUUUUAUUGGAAGAACAAAGUUGCAACUUUAUAUUUAUCCAGUAUCGACCCCUUUGUAUCAAAAUGAAUAAAUAAUGCUGCUGAAUUAUUAGUCGAACUUUAGUAAGCAGGUUGGUUAUAGGAGCCAUUGGACACGACUUGAAAAUCCAGCAUUUGAGGUAAGAGUUGGUCUUUGAAAGAAAAACUAACAGGUGGAAAUGCAAACAAAAUAUAACGCUUUCAGUGGAAAUAUUAUGUUCGGAAAUGUGAAAUCAACAAUGAGCUGUUCAUUAAACACGAUUUGAAAAAUUAUUAAUUUGAUAAAAUAUUAAGUUCUGUGAUAUUUCACCGGCUUCAUUUCGACAUCAAAAUGUUCAAUGAUGAAAACGAAUGAUCUAUUUUCCGGACGGAAAUUCAUUUUUCUGAUUCUUUUACGUAUAAAAGUCAAAUCAAUCGUUUUCCUGUUUUGUGUUUCAAGUUGACACAAAAAAGUUG